rnacentral:rRNA from 1 species
AUGCACGCUGGCGGCGUGCCUAAUACAUGCAAGUAGCACGCUGAAGGAGGAGCUUGCUCUUCUGGAUGAGUUGCGAACGGGUGAGUAACGCGUAGGUAACCUGCCUGGUAGCGGGGGAUAACUAUUGGAAACGAUAGCUAAUACCGCAUGACAACAGUUAUUGCAUGAUAACUGUUUAAAAGGGGCAACUGCUCCACUACCAGAUGGACCUGCGUUGUAUUAGCUAGUUGGUGAGGUAACGGCUCACCAAGGCGACGAUACAUAGCCGACCUGAGAGGGUGAUCGGCCACACUGGGACUGAGACACGGCCCAGACUCCUACGGGAGGCAGCAGUAGGGAAUCUUCGGCAAUGGACGGAAGUCUGACCGAGCAACGCCGCGUGAGUGAAGAAGGUUGUCGGAUCGUAAAGCUCUGUUGUAAGAGAAGAACGAGUGUGAGAGUGGAAAGUUCACACUGUGACGGUAGCUUACCAGAAAGGGACGGCUAACUACGUG